UGACUCUGUCUGGGGUGCCAUUGAUUUGGCUGAGAGAUACCCACAUAACCUGAUCUAGUUAGGACUAGCGGAGGGAGACAGCUUAAUUUGGCG
rfam:Lactobacillus mucosae LM1, complete genome.